rnacentral:rRNA from 1 species
AUUGAACGCUGGCGGCAGGCCUAACACAUGCAAGUCGAGCGGCAGCGGGAAAGUAGCUUGCUACUUUUGCCGGCGAGCGGCGGACGGGUGAGUAAUGCCUGGGGAUCUGCCCAGUCGAGGGGGAUAACUACUGGAAACGGUAGCUAAUACCGCAUACGCCCUACGGGGGAAAGCAGGGGACCUUCGGGCCUUGCGCGAUCGGAUGAACCCAGGUGGGAUUAGCUAGUUGUUGAGGUAAUGGCUCACAAAGGCGACGAUCCCUAGCUGGUCUGAGAGGAUGAUCAGCGACACUGGAAAUGAGACACGGUCCAGACUCCUACGGGAGGCAGCAGUGGGGAGUAUUGCACAAUGGGGGAAACCCUGAUGCAGCCAUGCCGCGUGUGUGAAGAAGGCCUUCGGGUUGUAAAGCACUUUCAGCGAGGAGGAAAGGUUGGUAGCUAAUAACUGCCAGCUGUGACGUUACUCGCAGAAGAAGCACCGGCUAACUCCGUGCCAGCAGCCGCCGUAAGAC